rnacentral:rRNA from 1 species
AAAACAUCUUCUCUUGAUUUUAAUUUGAGAUUUGACCUGCCCAAUGAUUAUUUUAAUGGCCGCAGUAUUCUGACUGUGCAAAGGUAGCAUAAUCAUUAGUCUAUUAAUUGUGGGCUUGUAUGAAUGGUUGGACGAAAUAUUAUCUGUCUAUUUAUUGAAUAUUAGAAUUUAAAUUUUAAGUUAAAAUGCUUAAAUUUUUUUAUAGGACGAGAAGACCCUAUAGAUCUUUAUUUAUUUAUUUAUAAUUUUUGUUUAGUUUUAAAGAUUUUAAUUAUAAGUAUUUAUUUUUUGUUGGGGUGACAUGGAGAAUUAAUUAACUCUUUAUUUUAUUUUACAUUUAUUUUUGUAUAAUUGACCUUUUAUUAUUGUUAUAAGAUUUAGAUACCUUAGGGAUAACAGCGUAAUUCUUUUUGAGAGUUCAAAUCGACAAGGGAGAUUGCGACCUCGAUGUUGGAUUAAGAUUAUAGUUAGGUGUAGAUGUUUAACUAUUAGGUCUGUUCGACCUUUAAAUUCUUACA